rnacentral:lncRNA from 1 species
UUUUGGCGCCCAUACCGGACAGGGUAUGGGGACAACCCUGGAAUCUGAUUACAAGUGUUAAGGGUUCACGGGUAGGGGGACCCCUAUGGAUCCCCAUGGAUACUAGUAGGCUGGUAAAUGAGGAAAAAUAUGUUGUGUAACGAUUGAAAUGCAAAAGGCGUGAUAAGUAUUAUGUUAUACAGUUCAUAUGAUUUCAUGAUGAUGAU